rnacentral:rRNA from 1 species
UACGGAGGAUCCAAGCGUUAUCCGGAAUCAUUGGGUUUAAAGGGUCCGUAGGCGGUUUAGUAAGUCAGUGGUGAAAGCCCAUCGCUCAACGGUGGAACGGCCAUUGAUACUGCUAAACUUGAAUUAUUAGGAAGUAACUAGAAUAUGUAGUGUAGCGGUGAAACGCUUAGAGAUUACAUGGAAUACCAAUUGCGAAGGCAGGUUACUACUAAUGGAUUGACGCUGAUGGACGAAAGCGUGGGGAGCAAACAUG